CUUCAGAAACGAGCGGAGAAUUUCCCAAAGGAGAUGGGUUGAUUGAUUUGGUAUCAAGUUCUAGGGUUUGCAACAAUUUUUAGAUUCGAUUCAUAUUGUUGCAAAACAGACAAGGGAAAACUCGUCUUGCAAAGUACUACGUUCCUCUUGAAGAAUCUCAGAAGCACAAGGUUGAAUACGAGGCAGAUAACAAUGAGAAAAUAUGUUCCACAUAAAACAUAACAGCAUUCUUGGACUCUCUCGUGGAUUUCUUUUUGGACGCCUGCAGUCCCUAUUUCCAAGGCUUCAUCUCCCCUAGAGGGUGAGCGUCAUUGCUGUGUGCCCUAAGGACUGGGACCAUUCGUCAGAAGACUUUACUUUCAAGGGAAAGAGAUAAAUGGUGCUAGAGUUAAUGCAAGUUUUGCCAUCCACCAGCUCCAUCCCAUAACCUUAUUUUCUUCCACUUCAAAUUUUAGGCUAGUACUCUUUUUUGUUCUGAUUCUUCUCAUCUGAACAGCUUGAUCUUUGGACUUAAACCAUAUCUUAGCCGGAAAUUCAUAUUUCUGUAUAUUAUUAUCCAUGUUGAAUUGGGUCAACACGUGAGACUUUACAUUUUUUUCUCUUUUAUUAACAUGGAAGGUGGAGUUAGCUUGUUUCCCUUGUGAUAAUCUCAGCCCCAUCAUUCGUUUCGGCUUUCCUGACUAGGUUAUCCAUGAGAUU